rnacentral:rRNA from 1 species
AUUGAACGCUGGCGGCAUGCCUUACACAUGCAAGUCGAACGGCAGCGCGGACUUCGGUCUGGCGGCGAGUGGCGAACGGGUGAGUAAUGUAUCGGAACGUACCAUUGAGUGGGGGAUAACGUAGCGAAAGUUACGCUAAUACCGCAUAUUCUCUCCGGAGGAAAGCAGGGGACCGCAAGGCCUUGCGCUCUUUGAGCGGCCGAUAUCAGAUUAGCUAGUUGGGAGGGUAAAAGCUCACCAAGGCGACGAUCUGUAGCGGGUCUGAGAGGAUGAUCCGCCACACUGGAACUGAGACACGGUCCAGAGUCCUACGGGAGUCAGCAGUGGGGAAUUUUGGACAAUGGGGGCAACCCUGAUCCAGCCAUGCCGCGUGAGUGAAGAAGGCCUUCGGGUUGUAAAGCUCUUUCGGCCGGGAAAAAAUCGCUAUUCCUAAUACGAGUGGUGGAUGACGGUACCGGAAGAAGAAGCACCGGCUAACUACGUGCCAGCCGCCGCCGUAACAC